rnacentral:rRNA from 1 species
GACGAACGCUGGCGGCGUGCCUAAUACAUGCAAGUAGAACGCUGAAGGAGGAGCUUGCUUCUCUGGAUGAGUUGCGAACGGGUGAGUAACGCGUAGGUAACCUGCCUGGUAGCGGGGGAUAACUAUUGGAAACGAUAGCUAAUACCGCAUAAGAGUAGAUGUCGCAUGACAUUUGCUUAAAAGGUGCAAUUGCAUCACUACCAGAUGGACCUGCGUUGUAUUAGCUAGUUGGUGAGGUAACGGCUCACCAAGGCAACGAUACAUAGCCGACCUGAGAGGGUGAUCGGCCACACUGGGACUGAGACACGGCCCAGACUCCUACGGGAGGCAGCAGUAGGGAAUCGUCGGCAAUGGACGGAAGUCUGACCGAGAAACGCCGCGUGAGUGAAGAAGGUUUUCGGAUCGUAAAGCUCGGUUGUAAGAGAAGAACGAGUGUGAGAGUGGAAAGUUCACACUGUGACGGUAUCUUACCAGAAAGGGACGGCUAACUACGUG